GUCGUAACAAGGUUUCCGUAGGUGAACCUGCGGAAGGAUCAUUCGCACGCAUCCAAUCAAUAUCACUGUGCAUUUUUCCGUGAGCUUCUGUACGAGGAAGGAGAUCAUUGCAUCGAUUCCCUCGUGCAGAAGAUCAAGGGUAGUUCGGGGCUGGAUGGGUGCGCGUUCGUCCUCUGGGCGGGCGUGUCACGUCCUACCUUCUCUGGCUACCACCCGCCUCUGGCGCUCUGUCAACCACAGACGUUCCGUUCCUUCCUUUGGAUUCUAAGAUCUUUCUUAUCACUUUCGGUGAUUGAUGUCUCGGCUCAAUUAACGAUGAAGGGCACAGCGAAGUGUGAUAUGCAUUGUGAACUGCAGAAUUCCGUGAAUCAAUAGGGACUUGAACGUACACUGCGCUUUCGGGAUAUCCCUGAAAGCAUGCCUGCUUCAGUGUCCUUGCCAUGUACUUCCAGUGACACUUACUCCGUUCGCGUGAGUUGUGUCGCUUGUGCGUGUGUGUUUGUGCAUCAGAGCGCAUUUCUGCCUCUGAUGCGCUUAGAGCUUGGGGCUGCUUCACGAUGUGCAACAGAUUAAGCACCCUCGGUGUUUGUUCGUUGUCACGUUCGGGGAGAGAGCUCUGCUGUCCAGCACCUUCUGCGUGCGAUUUCCAAGACAUGAAGUUAGGUCAGCAAACCCGCUGAAUUUAAGCAUAUAAGUAAGCGGAGGACAAGAAACUAAACAGGAUUCCCUAAGUAAUGGCGAAUGAACAGGGAUGAGCUCAGUCUGGAAAUCGGGGCCCUUGGCCUUGAAUUGUAAUCUGGAGAUGUACUACCAAUUGGGGCGCAGAUGUAAGCCUCUUGGAAAAGAGCAUCACUGAGGGUGAGAGUCCCGUGUGGCAUUUGCAGUCCCCAAUGCACGGUGUACGUUCUAAGAGUCACGUUCCUCGGGAUUGGAGCGCAAAUUGGGUGGUAAAUUUCAUCUAAAGCUGAAUACAAAGUUGAGACCGAUAGCAAACAAGUACCAUGAGGGAAAGAUGAAAAGGACUUUGAAAAGAGAGUUAAAAGUGCCUGAAAUUGCUGAAAGGGAAGCGAAUGGAACCAGUGUAGCUUGGCGAGAUUGUCGUGUGUCACUGUGAUCGUCUGCUGCUUCAACGCAAGUGUGGCAGUAGGCUCUGAUCAGGACGUGCAUGAUGCUUCUUGCCUUGCGUGCCAAUGUUCAUUUGCAAGUGGGGAAAACCCCAGGGACCUGGUAGCCUGCCUCCGGGUGGGUGAAUGUGUCUGGCGGAACUCAUCUGCAAAUGCAUCUUUGACUAAAUGGUUUCAUCCGACCCGUCUUGAAACACGGACCAAGGAGUCUAACGCAUGUGCGAGUUCACGGGUGUUAAACCUGCUUACGUAAUGAAAGUGACUGCUGGGAAUCUUUCACCAGCAACCGACCAAUCAAUUGAGAGAGGUUUGAGUAUGAGCAUAUCUGUUAGGACCCGAAAGAUGGUGAACUAUGCGUGA
rnacentral:rRNA from 1 species